rnacentral:rRNA from 1 species
AUUGAACGCUGGCGGCAGGCUUAACACAUGCAAGUCGUGCGGGGGGAGGUAGCUUGCUACCGGACCUAGCGGCGGACGGGUGAGUAAUGCUUAGGAAUCUGCCUAUUAGUGGGGGACAACAUCUCGAAAGGGAUGCUAAUACCGCAUACGUCCUACGGGAGAAAGCAGGGGAUCUUCGGACCUUGCGCUAAUAGAUGAGCCUAAGUCGGAUUAGCUAGUUGGUGGGGUAAAGGCCUACCAAGGCGACGAUCUGUAGCGGGUCUGAGAGGAUGAUCCGCCACACUGGGACUGAGACACGGCCCAGACUCCUACGGGAGGCAGCAGUGGGGAAUAUUGGACAAUAGGGGGAACCCUGAUCCAGCCAUGCCGCGUGUGUGAAGAAGGCCUUAUGGCUGUAAAGCACUUUAAGCGAGGAGGAGGCUACUUUAGUUAAUACCUAGAGAUAGUGGACGUUACUCGCAGAAUAAGCACCGGCUAACUCUGUGCCAGCUGCCGCCGUAA